rnacentral:rRNA from 1 species
AUAGCGUAUAUUAAAGUUGCUGCGGUUAAAAAGCUUGUAGUUGGAUCUGGGUAGUCGAUGGACGGUGCGCUUUACGGCGUCUACUGUUCGUUCGGCACCACAUGUCGGCCAUGUCUUGCAUGCUCUUCACUGAGUGUGCUUGGCGACCGAAACGUUUACUUUGAAAAAAUUAGAGUGCUCAAAGCAGGCGUUAAGCCUUGCAUAAUGGUGCAUGGAAUAAUAGAAUAGGACCUCGGUUCUAUUUUGUUGGUUUUCGGAGCUCGAGGUAAUGAUAAAGAGGAACAGACGGGGGCAUUCGUAUUGCGGCGUUAGAGGUGAAAUUCUUGGAUCGUCGCAAGACGCACUACUG